GAGGAAACCCACGCAGACAGGGGGAUUGCACAAACAUUUUUAAGUGUCCUCAUUUUCCUGGCUCAUCCCAAUCAUGUUAUCAGCAGUUUUGGGCUCAAGGAUGAUGUGGCAGCUGGAGCCAACCAGGACCAUCACAUAUGGACACAUAGGCACAUUUUCUGUGGUGGUGAUCUGCGCCACCACCUCCUGAU